UUGUCUAAACUAUCGUCGCGUUAACCAACAGAAAUGACUUAUAAGUAUUUAAGGCGGAGCUUGGAUGUUAACUUAUAUCGACCCGGCAAAAGCGCCUAACUAUAAGGGAGUUGAACAUACAUCGACUGGCUAUAAGUCUGACCACUUCCAAACUGCGUAACCGUGUGGUAUCGCAUCUUCUAUUCCACAAGACACUGAAAAAUUAUUCAAAUGGAGAAUAAAUUUUUGCUUUUUGUUGCAAUUGGCGCAUUGAUUGUCGCAAGUGCGAGGGGACAAGAAGAAGAAAAUGAUUCUGAUCGCAGUGGAAAAGUGUUCUUGUACAAACGUGCAGAUUUUGAUGAUUCCAGUAAUCAGCAGGAUGUGUUUAUAAAUAAACGUACAGCGGACGAAAUCAAUAAAGAAGCAGUAAAAGAAAGAGGGCAAUAAAUACCAGACGAGUUUCAUUCUGAACAACAUCCUCAUUGAUGGACUACAGGGUUGUUUUCCGGUUGUUUCAAGGAUCUGAAAAAUAACAUAUAUAAAAAGCUUACUCUUUAAAUAAUCAGACUAUAUUUAUCUACAAUAAACAG